UUAAAAAAUGUUGUAGUAAUCUAUCUAAGAUAAAGCUUUCCAGAAUUUUGAUCUUUAACGGUUAUCUGAAUAGAUUCGUUUAUCACCUUCAAAGCAAGUCUGAUUUGAUGCAACACAAAUAUUAUACAUAUAACAUUAAAGAGAUAGAAUAGAGCAUCAGUCUCCGGAGCAAAAUUAAAUCAAUGAGGAUUCGAAUUGAUAAUAUUAUUGAUUAAGUAACAAAUACAAGGAUUUAGUCAAAGAAAAGUCAAAUAUAAAUAACAAGAAAUGACAAAGUAACAAAGAAAAAAUCAAAAAUCAAAAAGUUUCACUUUUACUGAUUGAUUUACGGAUGCUUGAUUUAUAAUAGAAACACGUGCCUUCUAUUAUCAGAAAUUUAACAAAAAUAUUUAGGGAUGUGACUAGAAGAUGAACCUACACAUGAGAGUUGGAAGACGUACUUAGGAAAGUUUGAUGCAUUCGAAAAAAAAUAAAUUAAAAAAUUCGUUAGAAAGUA